UAUUAUGCUAUCACAUGAACCAUCGCUAGCUAGUGAGCUAACUGGCUAGUUAGUGAGCUAUCUGGCUCGCUAGUGAGCUCACUGGCUAACUAGUGAGCUCACUGGCUAGCUUGUGAGCUAAAUGGCUACCUAGCUUCUUUCUAAGGAGCAUAACAUUGAGGAGGAGAAGGAGCUGAGGGACUGAGCUAACAGACGAGGCACACCCACAAGGCUCCAGACCAGGGAGUGAGGGAGAGCAUGCUAAGCAUCAGAAGAGACGUUAGACAUGUCAGACAGGAGAGGGCUUCCCUGAGGUAACACCGACCAGACAGAGGCAGAUUUUACAUUUUGUGCUCCACAUACCUGGAACAAAUUGGAGCAUAAGCUGAAGACUA